GAUGAACGCUGGCGGCGUGCUUAACACAUGCAAGUCGAACGAUGAAGCCCAGCUUGCUGGGUGGAUUAGUGGCGAACGGGUGAGUAACACGUGAGCAACCUGCCCCUGACUCUGGGAUAAGCGCUGGAAACGGCGUCUAAUACUAGAUAUGUCCCGUCACCGCAUGGUGUGCGGGUGGAAAGAUUUUUCGGUUGGGGAUGGGCUCGCGGCCUAUCAGCUUGUUGGUGAGGUAAUGGCUCACCAAGGCGUCGACGGGUAGCCGGCCUGAGAGGGUGACCGGCCACACUGGGACUGAGACACGGCCCAGACUCCUACGGGAGGCAGCAGUGGGGAAUAUUGCACAAUGGGCGGAAGCCUGAUGCAGCAACGCCGCGUGAGGGAUGACGGCCUUCGGGUUGUAAACCUCUUUUAGCAGGGAAGAAGCGAAAGUGACGGUACCUGCAGAAAAAGCACCGGCUAACUACGUG
rnacentral:rRNA from 1 species